AAUCACACUAUAUGUUCAUAAAUAUCCCAGAAAUUUAUCAGUUGGUAACACACAAUUAUAUGUUUCAGUAUAUGUACGUCGAAAACUUAAUCCACGUGCACACAUUUUCAAAGUCUACAUGUACACCAGAUCACAAAGCUUCACUAUCGUAUCCACAUGUACACCGGCUGGCAAGAUCUAUGUGUACACCACAAUUAUCACUUGCGUUAAUUGCUUAUUUUUAUUGAUUCCUGAGUGAUUGAGUUUUGUUGAAUUUGCAUAUAAUGCCUCGGAAAGCCUUUGUCACCACGAGUGCUUAUGUGAUUAGCUAAAUCCAUAGGGCUAUAUAGGUUCUGUUCGAAAAAGAAAAAAGAGAAUCUAUGGACUACAAAAGAGGAGGAUGUGCCGAUGAAGAUAAUGAGAUUCUCUUUAUGGUAGCAGUUUCUUCUAUGUUUAACUACGAAAGGAGACCAAAGAUGCAAAAAUGGGUAGACACUUGCAUCGCAUCUUGGGGUUACUAGAGGAGGCAAAAUCAGAUUCUUUAUAUUGUAAUCUGCUACUGGAACUAUUGAACAUUCAUGUUCGUUUCCUUUUCUAGUAUCGGAGAAAAUAUGAUGCUUUUAGAGGUUUUUUUUGUUCACUAAA